AUAUUACGUAACGUCGUAAACGAUUAACUACCAUUAAAUUGGUGACUCCUUGAGAUCGUGAAGUUCUUCGAGAUUGUUUAUGAGAACCGAAAUGAAACUUCGGCUCGAGAUUUUCUAAUCGAAGGCAGACGUGUACUCGCCUGUUGGGCUUCGUGAAAACCGCUGAACAACUGAACAAUUUAAUGGCGCCACGGAGAACGAUCGGUAUCAAUCUAAAUGCAGAUGAACCACGAUUAUUUAUAGACAGCUUGUACGCUGAAUUCCAAACCGUCCGGCUAUAUAGGAAACUUUUUCUUUGCCAACUAUUCGAUCAGGCUAGACAUCUCUAUCACAGCUUCCUACCUACUUUUUAACAAUCUUUUCACCUACCAAGGAAAUUCGUAGCUUGCUCUUUAUAAGCAAAAAAUCAGGGUAAACUGUUUUGUCUGCGUCGCUCGAUAAAACGUUCGAGAAGUCCGCGUUUAACCGGAUCAUUUGACGCUGUACGAUGCAGCCGGUAUAACGUUCUACUUUUAGUUAUCAUCACGCUGCUGGAGUAAAAGGUUAUCGUGUUAAGGAUACGUGUCGACGUGGCUUGCUUUAAAAGCAACCGAGCCAACCAGGCUUUGAAAUCCUGGGAUGGGCGAGGCCAACCAGAUAUCCGGACAGGAAGUUUGCGGGAAGUGCAAAGACGUUCCGCUGGUAGUACUUAGCGUCCGUGAUGAUGGACGGAAAUGUUAACCGUUACUAACAUAACAUAGCAAUUUGUUAAAGGAAUGCAGUGGCUCAUGAAGCCAUAGAAUCUCCCUCACUCCACUUAUACCACGAUUUAUGGACGACGAUAUAUAAACCGGUGCGCAGUGCAGUUCCGGUUACAACGGAGAAAUCUUGGAUGUCUAAAAAAGAAAAAAGAAGAAGGGAUUCGCCUCACGUCGAGUGAAAUAUAACAAAGUAUUCCGAAUAAGUUGACUCCGUUGACUUCCGGUGCUUCAAGUCCCGUACACACAAAGCAUACUUCAAAAUUAUGUAGAUUAUAAAUGACCCAAUUCCCAUCUCGCAGACUGUACUCGCAACUGUUGCCGUCCUUCGACGAUUAAUCUACUUCUGCCAUGCAAGUGUAACUCGCGGAAAAUGUUAUUUUCCGUUUGUCGAAUAAACAAGCAAAUAAAAUGAUAAA
rnacentral:lncRNA from 1 species